rnacentral:rRNA from 1 species
GUGAGGAAUAUUGGGCAAUGGGCGCAAGCCUGACCCAGCAACGCCGCGUGAAGGAAGACGGUCUUCGGAUUGUAAACUUCUUUUGUCAGGGACGAAUAAUGACGGUACCUGGCGAAUAAGCCACGGCUAACUACGUGCCAGCAGCCGCGGUAAUACGUAGGUGGCAAGCGUUGUCCGGAUUUACUGGGUGUAAAGGGCGAGUAGGCGGAUUUGUAAGUCAGGUGUGAAAGCCCGGGGCUUAACCCCGGGUCUGCAUUUGAAACUGCGGAUCUUGAGUAUCGGAGAGGCAGGCGGAAUUCCCGGUGUAGCGGUGGAAUGCGUAGAUAUCGGGAGGAACACCAGUGGCGAAGGCGGCCUGCUGGACGACAACUGACGCUGAGGAGCGAAAGCGUGGGGAGCAAACAGGAUUAGAUACCCGGGUAGUCC